UGUAUAAGUUCAUGCCUUAACAAGGUGAAACCGCGAAUGGCUCAUUAAAACAGUCAUGAUCUAUUUGAUGUUUAAGUUUUCUUAACUUUACAAGGAUAACUGUGGUAAUUCUAGAGCUAAUACUUGCAAUAAAGCCGUAACUCUUAAUUGGGAAGCGGUGCGUUUAUUAGACCAAGACCAAUGAUCUCUUCGGAGAUCUACAAUUGUGGUGACUCUGGAUAACUAAUGGCGUAAAAACCAUGAAGCUGACCCUAUGUCCCGAGGUAGCAAUACUUCACAGCGACGAGGGCAAAUCAUUCGAGUGUCUGCUCUAUCAACUGUCGAUGGUAGGUUAUAUGCCUACCAUGGUUGUAACGGGUAACGGGGAGUUAGGGCUCGACUCCGGAGAGCAGGCCUGAGAAACGGCCAGCACAUCUAAGGAAGGCAGCAGGCGCGCAAAUUACGCAAUGAUAGCAUCCUAUCGACGUAGUGAAGAAAAAUAACGAUGUAGUUCUUAUUUACAAGAUCUACAAUUGGAAUGAGUACACUGUAAAUAUGUUAACGAGUAUCAAUUAGAGGGCAAGUCUGGUGCCAGCAGCCGCGGUAAUUCCAGCUCUAAUAGCGUAUAUUAAAGUUGUUGCGGUUAAAAAGCUCGUAGUUGGAUUUUUGGCUUUGCUUUCAAGUUAGAAUUAUCGUUAAGGUUAGUUUGGCUAAUUUAAACACAAAUAAUGUGCCUAAAAACACUUAUUUGUGGGUCACUAGCUGGUAGUUUCUAAACUUAAAGCGGCCGUUUCGUCACUUUUAUAAGGUGCGAAACACGUCUAUGCGUAUGAUAACAUCACGUUUUCAUUAUGUUUAGAUGAGUUUACCUUGAGAAAAUUAGAGUGCUCAAAGCAGGCGAAUCGUAUGCCGAAAGGUAUGCAUUAAUGCUUGAAUAAUGUUGCAUGGAAUAAUAGAAUAUGGCCUCGGUUCUAUUCUGUUGGUCUUGUAGAACAACAAACAAGUUCGCUAAAUCUAACAAUGUUAUCUGUUGGGUGGCAUUAAUUCUAGUAAAUAUUACAUUUAAUCAUUGUAUAUUGCCUUGUUCGCAAGGAUAAGUGCUAUCAAUCGAUUUUAAGUAUAUAUUUAUCAUGAAUUGUGUCCGCUAGAAAAGCCCAUCAGUUAACAAGAUUUGCGAAUCGAGGCAAUGGUUAAGAGGGAUAGACGGGGGCAUUCGUACUGCAUCGCUAGAGGUGAAAUUCUUAGACCGAUGCAAGACGAACUAAAGCGAAAGCAUUUGCCUAGAAUGUUUUCAUUAAUCAAGAACGAAAGUUAGAGGUUCGAAGGCGAUCAGAUACCGCCCUAGUUCUAACCAUAAACGAUGCCAAUUAGCAAUUAGGCUGAGUUUUUUCAUUAAAAUUAAAUGACUCGCCUAGCGGCUUUCGGGAAACCAAAAUUUUUCGGUUCCGGGGGAAGUAUGAUUGCAAAGUUGAAACUUAAAGGAAUUGACGGAAGGGCACCACCAGGAGUGGAGCCUGCGGCUUAAUUUGACUCAACACGGGGAAACUCACGAGGUUAGUACGCUAAAAUGCUUGACUGUUUGAAGUGCAUUCAAAAGAUAGCGAGUGGUGGUGCAUGGCCGUUCUUGAUUCGUAGAAUGAUUCGUCUGCUUAAUUGCGAUAACGAGUGAGACCUCUUCCAAUUAGCUAGUUUCUGUCUGUCUUGUAGGAUAUAAAACGUUCUUUUGGUCUAUGUUAUGUUUGGUUGCCUCACGGUAUAUUGGAUAUAGCAGCCAGAAGAAUAGGCCUUUAGCCAGCAGAAGACUUCCUAGAGGGAUAAACGGUGUUUUAGCCGUAAUAAAUGAGGCAAUAACAGGUCUGUGAUGCCCUUAGAUAUCCUCGGCCGCACGCGUGCUACAAUGCUAAAGACAUCAUGCUUAUUUAAGUUGUCUAUUAGGGAGUUCUGGUUGGUUUUUGUUGUUAGGCCGCAAGGUUUGGCAAUGAUGCUAAUCGUGAACCUUAGUAGUAACAAUUUGAGAAACCUUGGCUGAAAAGCCUGGGCAAUCAUUUGAACUUUUAGCAUGAUUUGGGAUUGGGGUUUGCAAUUGUUGUCCAUGAACGAGGAAUUCCUAGUAAGCGCGAUUCAUCAUAUCGCGUUGAUUAUGUCCCUGCCCUUUGUACACACCGCCCGUCGCUACUACCGAUUGAAUGAUUUAGUGAGGUCUUUGGAUUGGCCUAUUUAAAAGAGGCGUUAAAACCUCUCUGAAUAAGGCUGAAAAGAUGAUCGAACUUGAUCAUUUAGAGGAAGUAAAAGUCGUAACAAGGUUUCCGU
rnacentral:rRNA from 2 species